UUUGAAAACAACAACUUUUGAAAAACAAGCUGGUUUCAGCAAUUGAAUUGAGCUAAAUUAAAUUAACAUUAAGACUUAUAAUUGUUCUGUAAAAUGUAUUGAAAUACUGUCAGCAUGAAGUAUUGUGUGAUGAAAACAAUGUGUAUUUUACUACAAUUUGGAAAUCAACAAUAAGUUUGUUGGAAAAGAAGUUCAACUGUUUUUUUUUGGAAUACUGAAGAACAGUUUUAACAGGUUAAACUCUUGCCCCAAGAGCAAAAGGGGUAAUCAUACUACCUGAUGUAUGGACUUUUACACCAGGCUUUUACCCUGCACGAGCUGGCCAACUUGAGGGGAACUGAAGUUGGCAAACCUCGCCCUGUCGUUGAACAAGAAAGCUGGAUUUGUUGAGAGAGUAUCAUUUAAGCUGAAAUCCAGCAUGAAACCAGGGAUGUGAUGGCCAUCGCACAGGCCAUGUGCCGACUAUUCACUUUCCACCAGCUUGUGACUUGCUCCAUGAAGGGAGCAACAACUACAAAGGGGUCACCAAGACCAAGCCUCCCCGCUGCUGAGAGAAAUGCAAUCAUUGAUGUCAUAGCCAAAACCUUUGACAAGCCUUCGGUUGAUGUUGAAGAAAAGAUGAGAGGUUGUUUAAGGCAUCUGCGGCUGAUGCACAAGUAGACUGAAGUCUUUGUAAAUAAAAUGUGCUGUUAAAAUGAUUAUUUAACCAUUGUUUUCACUUUGUUAUAUAGAUUUGCACCUGUUUCAACAACAUUAACUUAUUUUUAUGCUCCCGGUAGGGUCUCAUAUAGCAGUUG